UACGAAGGGGGCUAACGUUGCUCGGAAUCACUGGGCGUAAAGGGUGCGUAGGCGGGUCUUUAAGUCAGGGGUGAAAUCCUGGAGCUCAACUCCAGAACUGCCUUUGAUACUGAGGAUCUUGAGUUCGGGAGAGGUGAGUGGAACUGCGAGUGUAGAGGUGAAAUUCGUAGAUAUUCGCAAGAACACCAGUGGCGAAGGCGGCUCACUGGCCCGAUACUGACGCUGAGGCACGAAAGCGUGGGGAGCAAACAGG
rnacentral:rRNA from 1 species